rnacentral:misc_RNA from 1 species
GGGUAAAAGUCGUAACAAGGUUUCCGUAGGUGAACCUGCGGAAGGAUCAUUAUUGUAUAACCGAGGUGCGAGGGCUGUCGCUGACCCGAAAGGUCGUGCACGCCCGAGUGCCCUCACACACAUCCAUCUCACCCCUAUGUGCACCACCGCGUGGGUCCCCCUUUGGCUUGUUCGGAGGGGGGCUUACGUUUUCACACAAACUUUGUAUGCAGUGUAGAAUGUAUUUUUUGUUUUUGCGAUCACGCAAUCAAUACAACUUUCAACAUCGGAUCUCUUGGCUCUC